AUUGAACGCUGGCGGCAGGCCUAACACAUGCCAGUCGAACGGUAACAGGGAUCAGCUUGCUGAUUCGCUGACGAGUGGCGGACGGGUGAGUAAUGUCUGGGAAACUGCCUGAUGGAGGGGGAUAACUACUGGAAACGGUAGCUAAUACCGCAUAACGUCGCAAGACCAAAGAGGGGGACCUUCGGGCCUCUUGCCAUCGGAUGUGCCCAGAUGGGAUUAGCUAGUAGGUGGGGUAACGGCUCACCUAGGCGACGAUCCCUAGCUGGUCUGAGAGGAUGACCAGCCACACGGGAACUGAGACACGGUCCAGACUCCUACGGGAGGCAGCAGUGGGGAAUAUUGCACAAUGGGCGCAAGCCUGAUGCAGCCAUGCCGCGUGUAUGAAGAAGGCCUUCGGGUUGUAAAGUACUUUCAGCGGGGAGGAAGGGAGUAAAGUUAAUACCUUUGCUCAUUGACGUUACCCGCAGAAGAAGCACCGGCUAACUCCGUG
rnacentral:rRNA from 1 species